rnacentral:misc_RNA from 1 species
UCCGGUUUGUCACCGGCAGUCCCAUUAGAGUGCUCAACUAAAUGUAGGGGUUGCGCUCGUUGCAGGACUUAACCUAACACCUCACGGCACGAGCUGACGACAGCCAUGCAGCACCUGUACCAGUGUGUAUUGCUACAAGACCGACUUUCAUCGGUUGUCACUGGCCUUUCAAAUCCGGGUAAGGUUCUUCGCGUUGCAUCGAAUUGAACCACUUGCUCCACUGCUUGUGCGGGCCCCCGUCAAUUCCUUUGAGUUUCAACCUUGCGAUCGUACUCCCCAGGUGGAAUACUUAAUGCGUUAGCUUUGGCACUGAACCUUACGGCCCAGCACCUAGUAUUCAUCGUUUAAGGCGUGGACUAC